rnacentral:rRNA from 1 species
AAAGAGCUCGUAGGUGGUUUGUCGCGUCGUCUGUGAAAUUCCGGGGCUUAACUCCGGGCGUGCAGGCGAUACGGGCAUAACUUGAGUGCUGUAGGGGAGACUGGAAUUCCUGGUGUAGCGGUGAAAUGCGCAGAUAUCAGGAGGAACACCGAUGGCGAAGGCAGGUCUCUGGGCAGUAACUGACGCUGAGGAGCGAAAGCAUGGGUAGCGAACAGGAUUAGAUACCCUGGUAGUCCAUGCCGUAAACGGUGGGCGCUAGGUGUAGGAGACUUCCACGUCUUCUGUGCCGUAGCUAACGCAUUAAGCGCCCCGCCUGGGGAGUACGGCCGCAAGGCUAAAACUCAAAGGAAUUGACGGGGGCCCGCACAAGCGGCGGAGCAUGUGGAUUAAUUCGAUGCAACGCGAAGAACCUUUACCUGGGCUUGACAUACACCGGACCGGCGCAGAGAUGCGUCUUCCCUUGUGGCCGGUGUACAGGUGGUGCAUGGUUGUCGUCAGCUCGUGUCGUGAGAUGUUGGGUUAAGUCCCGUAACGAGCGCAACCCUUGUCUUAUGUUGCCAGCACGUUGUGGUGGGGACUCAUGAGAGACUGCCGGGGUCAACUCGGAGGAAGGUGGGGAUGACGUCAAAUCAUCAUGCCCCUUAUGUCCAGGGCUUCACACAUGCUACAAUGGUCGGUACAGUAGGUCGCGAACCCGUGAGGGUGAGCCAAUCCUGUGAAAGCCGGCCUCAGUUCGGAUUGGGGUCUGCAACUCGACCCCAUGAAGUCGGAGUCGCUAGUAAUCG